rnacentral:rRNA from 1 species
AUUCCCAUUGAUCCUGUGGGAGAUUGCUGCUAUUGGAAUCCGAAUUAGCCAUGCAAGUUCAGGGGGCUCGCAAGAGUCACCGGCAUAAGGCUCAGUAACACGUCGAUAAUUUGCCCUUAGGUCUGGAAUAACCUCGGGAAACUGAGGCUAACACCGGAUAUGAGAUUGAUACUGGAAUGUUCUUUCUCAGAAAGGUAACGCCUAAGGAUAAGUCGGCGGCUGAUUAGGUUGUUGGUGAGGUAACGGCCCACCAAGCCUAGGAUCAGUAGGGGGGAUGAGAGUCCUAGCCCCGAGAAGGGCACUGAGAUACUGGCCCUAGCCCUAAGGGGUGCAGCAGGCGCGGAAACUUUACAAUGCACGAAAGUGUGAUAAGGGGAUUCCAAGUGCUUUGUCUUCGGAUAAAGCUUUUGUCAAGUGUAAGAAGCUUGGCGAAUAAGUGGUGGGUAAGACGGGUGCCAGCCGCCGCGGUAACACCUGCGCCACAAGUGGCAAUCGUAAUUAUUGGGUCUAAAGCGUUCGUAGCCGGUUUAGAAAGUCUCUUGUGAAAUUGUUGAGCUUAACUUAACAGCGUGCAAGGGAAACUUCUAAACUAGAGACUGGGAGGAGACAGAAGUAUUCCAGGGGGAGCGGUAAAAUGUUAUAAUCCUUGGAAGACUACCAGUGGCGAAGGCGUCUGUCUAGAACAGGUCUGACGGUGAGGAACGAAGGCUAGGGGAGCAAAACGGAUUAGAUACCCGAGUAGUCCUAGCAGUAAACACUGUAAGCUAUGUGUUGCAUAUUCUUUGUGAAUAUGCAGUGCCUAAGUGAAGACGUUAAGCUUACCACCUGGGAAGUACGGUCGCAAGACUGAAACUUAAAGGAAUUGGCGGGGGCUCACUACAAGGGGUGAAGAGUGCGGUUCAAUUGGAUUCCACGCCGG